GCCCCGUUAGUCUAGUGGCCUAGGAUUCCGGAUUUUCACUCCGCGAGAACAUCGGUUCGAAUCCGAUACGGGGUAC
rnacentral:tRNA from 5 species